rnacentral:lncRNA from 1 species
GAGGAGUACUUUACUUUUGAUGAAAUAAUUGUAAUAUUCACAAAUGUAUGAUGUAGCCCUUGUGUCUAUCCAUAUAGCCUAUGCAAUUAUUUUAGCCCUCGGUCCUUACACUAACUUACAUACACAUGUAUGGGAUGAAGUAGAGAGUUGUACUUUGGUUUUUGAGGAAUAAUUAGUGGUCCAUUCUGCAUAUGCGGUACUGUUAUUUUCUUUUAACUUAUGCGGUACUGUUGCAUAUAACUCUUAAACUGUUACGUAUGUAAUUUAAACAUGAACAAUAUGGAAUCUCGUGCACU